rnacentral:rRNA from 1 species
UACGAGAGGCCCAAACGUUAUUCGGAAUUACUGGGCUUAAAGAGUUCGUAGGCGGCUUUGCAAGUCGGAUGUGAAAUCCCUCGGCUUAACCAAGGAAGUGCAUCCGAAACUGCAGAGCUUGAGUACUUAAGAGGAUCGCGGAAUUCCCGGUGUAGAGGUGAAAUUCGUAGAUAUCGGGAGGAACACCAGUGGCGAAGGCGGCGAUCUGGGAAGAUACUGACGCUGAGGUGCGAAAGCGUGGGGAGCAAACAGG